GACGAACGCUGGCGGCGUGCUUAACACAUGCCAGUCGAACGGAAAGGCCCCUUUGGGGGUACUCGAGUGGCGAACGGGUGAGUAACACGUGAGUAACCUGCCCUUGACUUCGGGAUAACUUCAGGAAACUGGGGCUAAUACCGGAUAGGAAUCCUUGCUGCAUGGUGGGGGUUGGAAAGCUUCGGCGGGUUUGGAUGGACUCGCGGCUUAUCAGCUUGUUGGUUGGGUAGUGGCUUACCAAGGCUUUGACGGGUAGGCGGCCUGAGAGGGCGACCGGCCACAUUGGGACUGAGAUACGGCCCAGACUCCUACGGGAGGCAGCAGUGGGGAAUAUUGCACAAUGGGCGGAAGCCUGAUGCAGCAACGCCGCGUGCGGGAUGACGGCCUUCGGGUUGGAAACCGCUUUCAGCAGGGGAGAAGCUUGUGGUGACGGUACCUGCAGAAGAAGCACCGGCUAACUACGUG
rnacentral:rRNA from 1 species